AGAGUUUGAUCAUGGCUCAGGAUGAACGCUAGCGGCAGGCUUAACACAUGCAAGUCGAGGGGUAACAGGGAUUGCUUGCAAUCCGCUGACGACCGGCGCACGGGUGCGUAACGCGUAUGCAACCUACCUUCUACAGGGGGAUAGUCAAUAGAAAUGUUGAAUAAUACCCCAUACGAUCUUUGAAUAGCAUUAUUUAAAGAAGAAAGUUCCGACGGUAGAAGAUGGGCAUGCGUCCUAUUAGUUAGUUGGAGAGGUAACGGCUCCCCAAGACAUCGAUAGGUAGGGGUCCUGAGAGGGAGACCCCCCACACUGGUACUGAGACACGGACCAGACUCCUACGGGAGGCAGCAGUGAGGAAUAUUGGACAAUGGAGGCAACUCUGAUCCAGCCAUGCCGCGUGCAGGAAGACUGCCCUAUGGGUUGUAAACUGCUUUUAUACAGGAAGAAAUGUACCUACGUGUAGGUAUUUGACGGUACUGUACGAAUAAGGAUCGGCUAACUCCGUGCCAGCAGCCGCGGUAAUACGGAGGAUCCAAGCGUUAUCCGGAAUCAUUGGGUUUAAAGGGUCCGUAGGCGGUCUUUUAAGUCAGAGGUGAAAUCCUACAGCUCAACUGUAGAAUUGCCUUUGAUACUGAAGGACUUGAGUUAUU
rnacentral:rRNA from 1 species